UCAGUUGUCAAUUCAUGUGAUAUACGACCCAUUGGCGCGGACGAUUGCCAGAGGGGAAGUAAACAAGCAGACAAUAACUUGUAGGCAUGUCACGUGACAGGCACAUGACAGGGAAUCUAUUUUUAGAAAAUCAGUGUUUCUAAACACUGAAUGUGUCUCACGGUGCGAAUCUAAACGGCGCAUUCGUUUUAGCAAAAACAACGUCAUUUCCAAAAUCACGAAUACUUAUGGCCAGGUACUGUAUGUUUCGUCCCUUUCGUUGAC